AGUGAACGCUGGCGGUAUGCCUAACACAUGCAAGUCGAACGGCAGCACAGUAAGAGCUUGCUCUUACGGGUGUCGCGUGGCGGACGGGUGCGGAAUACAUCGGAAUCUACUUUUUCGUGGGUGAUAACGUAGGGAAACUUACGCUAAUACCGCAUACGACCUACGGGUGAAAGCAGGGGAUCUUCUGACCUUGCGCGAUUGAAUGAGCCGAUGUCGGAUUAGCUAGUUGGCGGGGUAAAGGCCCACCAAGGCGACGAUCCGUAGCGGGUCUGAGGGCAUGAUCAGCCAGACUGGAACUGAGACACGGUACAGACUCCGACGGGAGGCAGCAGUGGGGAAUAUUGGACAAGGGGGGAAAGCCUGAUCCAGCCAUACUGCGUGGGUGAAGAAGGCCUUCGGGUUGUAAAGCCCUUUUGUUGGGAAAGAAAAGCAGCAGUUUAAUACCCCGCUGUUCUGACGGUACCCAAAGAAUAAGCACCGGCUAACUUCGUG
rnacentral:rRNA from 1 species